rnacentral:rRNA from 1 species
AGAGCGAACGCUGGCGGCAUGCUUAACACAUGCAAGUCGCACGGUCAGCAAUGGCAGUGGCGGACGGGUGAGUAACACGUAGGAAUCUAUCCCGGGGUGGGGGAUAACAGUGGGAAACUACUGCUAAUACCGCAUGAUACCUGAGGGUCAAAGGCGUAAGUCGCCUUGGGAGGAGCCUGCGUCUGAUUAGCUUGUUGGUGGGGUAAAGGCCUACCAAGGCUACGAUCAGUAGCUGGUCUGAGAGGAUGAUCAGCCACAUUGGGACUGAGACACGGCCCAAACUCCUACGGGAGGCAGCAGUGGGGAAUAUUGGACAAUGGGGGAAACCCUGAUCCAGCAAUGCCGCGUGUGUGAAGAAGGUCUUCGGAUUGUAAAGCACUUUUGGCGGGACGAUGAUGACGGUACCUGCAGAAUAAGCCCGGCUAACUUCGUGCCAGCAGCCGC